rnacentral:rRNA from 1 species
UUUGGUGGCGAUGGCGGAGGGGUUCCACGCGUACCCAUCCCGAACACGACCGUUAAGCCCUCCAGCGCCGAUGGUACUUGGACCGAAGGGUNUAUCAUAUUCCCUGAUAGCUCAGUUGGUAGAGCACUCGAC